rnacentral:tRNA from 1 species
GGGAUGUAGCUCAAUUGGUAGAGUGCCCGCUUAGCAUGCGGGAGGCACCGGGAUCGAAGCCCGGCAUCUCC